rnacentral:rRNA from 1 species
ACCCCACUGCUAUCGGGAUAGGACUAAGACAUGCUAGUCGUGCGCUUCCUAGCCAAUUUGGGAGCGCGGCACACAGCUCAGUAACACGUGGCUAACCUGCCCUUGGGACCAGAAUACCCCCGGGAAACUGGGGCUAAUUCUCGAUAGGUGAAGAACUCUGGAAUGAGUCUUCGCUUAAAAGAGGCUGGGGUUAUGCUCUCCAGUUUCGCCCAAGGAUGGGGCCGCGACCGAUCAGGUUGUUGGUGAGGUAAUGGCUCACCAAGCCUUUUACCGGUGCGGGCCGUGAGAGCGGGAGCCCGGAGAUGGGCACUGAGACAAGGGCCCAGGCCCUACGGGGCGCAGCAGUCGCGAAAACUUUGCAAUAAGCGAAAGCUUGACAGGGCUAUCCCGAGUGCCAUCCGCUGAGGAAGGCUUUUACCCAGUCUAGAACGCUGGGGGAAUAAGGAGAGGGCAAGUCUGGUGUCAGCCGCCGCGGUAAUACCAGCUCUCCGAGUGGUGUGGAUGUUUAUUGGGCCUAAAGCAUCCGUAGCUGGCUAGGUUAGUCCCCUGUUAAAUCCACCGAAUUAAUCGUUGGAUUGCGGGGGAUACUGCUUGGCUAGGGGACGAGAGAGGCAGACGGUAUUUCCGGGGUAGGGGUGAAAUCCUAUAAUCCCGGGAAGACCACCAGUGGCGAAGGCUGUCUGCUAGAACGCGCCCGACGGUGAGGGAUGAAAGCUGGGGGAGCGGACCGGAUUAGAUACCCGGGUAGUCCCAGCUGUAAACGAUGCAGACUAGGUGUUUGGACGGCCACGUGCCGUUCUAGUGCCGCAGGGAAGCUGUUAAGUCUGCCGCCUGGGGAGUACGAUCGCAAGAUUGAAACUUAAAGGAAU